UUUGAGUGCAUCUAUUUUCAUUCCCUUAAGUGAACUUUCUCUCCUUCCUCCAGCAAAUGAAGAAACACCCCUGCCGCCAGUGUGACAAGUCUUUCAGCUCGUCCCACAGCCUGUGCCGGCACAACCGGAUCAAGCACAAAGGCAUCAGGAAAGUGUACGCCUGCUCGUCCCCAGUCCCAAGCGGAAGUUGGAAGAACCAGUUCUGGAGUUCAGGCCUCCCCGAGGAGCGAUCACUCAACCACUGAAAAAGCUGAAAAUCAAUGUUUUUAAGGUUCACAAGUGUGCCGUGUGUGGCUUCACCACCGAAAACCUGCUGCAAUUCCACGAACACAUCCCUCA
rnacentral:lncRNA from 1 species